UGACUCUGUGGCCCAAUGGAUAAGGCGCUGGUCUACGGAACCAGAGAUUCUGGGUUCGAUCCCCAGCAGAGUCGUUAUUCUUUUUUUCAAAUUUUUUUUAUCGGUAUUUAUAUAAUACAUCUUUCAAUGUUUCGGAUUGUUAACAUCGACAUGUCAGGAUGGCCGAGUGGUCUAAGGCGCCAGACUCAAGUUCUGGUCUUCGAAAGAGGGCGUGGGUUCAAAUCCCACUUCUGACAU
rnacentral:tRNA from 1 species